rnacentral:rRNA from 1 species
UGCAGCCACAUUAUGUUGAAACACCGAUUCCCGUAUGAUCACCGAAGUUAAGCAACGUUGAGCCUGAUCAGUACCUAGAUAGGUUGCCGCUUGGGAAUACCAGGUGCUGUAAG